CUACGGGAUGCACCAGUCGAGAAUCUUCCGCAAUGGGCGAAAGCCUGACGGAGCAAUGCCGCGUGCAGGAUGAAGGCCUUCGGGUCGUAAACUGCUGUCACCGGGGAUGAAUAAUGACAGUACCCGGGGAGGAAGUCACGGCUAACUACGUGCCAGCAGCCGCGGUAAUACGUAGGUGACAAGCGUUGUUCGGAUUUAUUGGGCGUAAAGGGUUCGUAGGAUGUUGAUUAAGAUUGGUGUGAAAUCCCAAGGCUCAACCUUGGAACUGCAUUGAUUACUGAUGAACUAGAGUGUCGUAGAGGAAAGCGGAAUUCCAGGUGUAGCGGUGGAAUGCGUAGAUAUCUGGAAGAACACCGACAGCGAAGGCAGCUUUCUGGGCGAUAACUGACUCUGAGGAACGAAAGCAUGGGGAGCAAACAGGAUUAGAUACCCGGGUAGUC
rnacentral:rRNA from 1 species